rnacentral:rRNA from 1 species
CGGACGCGGAGGGACAUUAC